GAUGAACGCUGGCGGUCUGCUUAACACAUGCAAGUCGAACGGAAUCCUUCGGGAUUUAGUGGCGGACGGGUGAGUAACGCGUGAGAAUCUGCCUUCAGGUUCGGGACAACAGCUGGAAACGGCUGCUAAUACCGGAUGUGCCGAGAGGUGAAAGCUUUAGUGCCUGAAGAUGAGCUCGCGUCUGAUUAGCUAGUAGGAGUGGUAAUGGCACCCCUAGGCGACGAUCAGUAGCUGGUCUGAGAGGAUGAUCAGCCACACUGGGACUGAGACACGGCCCAGACUCCUACGGGAGGCAGCAGUGGGGAAUUUUCCGCAAUGGGCGCAAGCCUGACGGAGCAAGACCGCGUGAGGGAAGAAGGUCUGUGGAUUGUAAACCUCUUUUGAUGGGGAAGAAGACAGUGACGGUACCCAUCGAAUCAGCCUCGGCUAACUCCGUGCCAGCAGCCGCGGUAA
rnacentral:rRNA from 1 species